rnacentral:rRNA from 1 species
AACGAACGCUGGCGGCAUGCCUAACACAUGCAAGUCGAACGAGACCUUCGGGUCUAGUGGCGCACGGGUGCGUAACGCGUGGGAACCUGCCCUUAGGUUCGGAAUAACUCCCCGAAAGGGGUGCUAAUACCGGUUAAUGUCUUCGGACCAAAGAUUUAUCGCCUUUGGAUGGGCCCGCGUUGGAUUAGCUAGUUGGUAGGGUAAAAGCCUACCAAGGCGACGAUCCAUAGCUGGUAUGAGAGGAUGAUCAGCCACACUGGGACUGAGACACGGCCCAGACUAGUACGGGAGGAAGGAGUGGGGAAUAUUGGAAAAUGGGCGAAAGCAUGAUACAGCAAUGCCGCGUGAGUGAUGAAGGCCUUAGGGUUGUAAAGCUCUUUUACCCGGGAUGAUAAUGACAGUACCGGGAGAAUAAGCUCCGGCUAACUCCGUG